GGUCGUGUGGUCUAGUGGUUAUGACAUCUGCUUUACAACUUGGCAACAGGAAACACUCGCAGAGGAUCGCAGGUUCGAUCCCUGCCACGAUCA